UGCAGUCAGGGUGUUGGGGUCUAAGCAAAGGGUCUAAAGGCUCCCAGGGCAUCUGCUGGAGCACAGCCCCCACGGGACCCCCAACCCCAGAGAGACUGACACUGAGCUCCCCGGACAGGGCCAGUCAAGGCUCGGGGGGGAAGCAAGGGGGCUGAGGUGGGCUGGGCAGGGUCCCACCUGGGGUCCCUCUGUGAGCGGCCACUGGUGAGGGGGGCCCGCAGAGGCUCCCGCACCACAGGAGAGGGGCCUCACUCAGAGGCAGGAGCGCCCCCAUGGCUGGUGGGGGCCAUUCUGCCGCCGCAGGGGCAGGAAGGCGGUCGUGUGGGGAUUGAAUUAGAAAGCCCGUGAAGUGCCCAGCUGCCCUCCCUGCUGUGGUUGACUUUGUUGCUCGGAACCCCGGGGCCCCAGGAAACAGGCCACGAGGCCCUUAGAGGUGGUCAGCCCAGCCCCUGCUCUCAGCAGGGGGAGCAACUGAGGCCCAGGGCCGGGGGCUCAGAGCACAGGUCGCAGCCCCGGGGCUGUGGUCCCGCCCGGCCAGCAGAGCCCAGACUACAGGUCCUGAGGGAGUGGGUGGGGGCCAGGGGUCAGGGACAGCCUGCUGAGACCAGGGAAGGAGGGUCAGGGACUCAGCUGGGCUCCCCAGAGGCCGGAGGGAGGGACUAGACUCUCAGUUUUGCCUUCUUGGAGCUUGGACGCCUGGACCCCUCCGGCCCUGGUCAGCUCAGAGCUCCAGCCACCUGCCCCUGGGCCCCUAGGGGUGACAAGGCCGAGAGCGGGAGGACACCUGCGGGGACAGAAGGGCCAGACCCACAGGAGGGCAGCUGUCUGCAAGACCAGAACAGGGCUCUCCAGGAGCCAGACUGGCCAGGACCUGGAUCUGGGACGCCCAGCCUCCAGAACCGUGAGCAGUGAGCGUCUGCUGAGUAAGCCCUGUGUCUGGGCCACUUGGUCGGACGAGCAGGAGCAGAGACCUUGCUGUCCCCCCAACCCUGAGUGCAGCUCAUCUGCCUUGUGGGCAGGGAGGGGCCAGGGCAUGAGGUUCCCAGGGCAGAGGCCACCGGAGGCAUGACGGCAGGGGCCUCAUAGGCUUCAAGCCACCGAGACUCAAGUCCCUGAAUGUGGUCCCUGUCCCCCUCCCCGCUGCAGCCUCCGCCCGCUGGGGAACUCUGGGACCCCAGGGCCGGGCGGGCACAGAGCCGAGAGUACUUGGUGACUGAAGACUCGAGAGUGACAGGUGAGCUCUUCACUGGGACAGAAAACGUCACUGUGGGGCCGGCUGGCUGACCCUGCGUUAGCACGGCCCCCCACCCCCGCCCCCCGCAGUCCCCUCCAGGGCUGUGGCCAAGAGCACGGAGCUGGUACUGGGACACAUGCCUGCAGCCCACGCUCCCAGUGCGUCGGUCGUCGCGACAGCCAAGGGUGGGAGCAAGUGUCCAUCAAGUGGUAGGUGGACGGCUCUGUAAGUCAGGGCACGUCACCCACGCAGCGGGAUGAGGUCCGGCCGCCGGACGGAAGGAAGCACGGACACUCACUGCAGCCUGGACGGGCCUUGAAAACAAGGUGCUCAGUGAGAGAAGCCAGCUGCCGAAGGCCACGCCCCGUGUGGUUCCCUUUAUGUGAGACGUCAGGAAGCGGUGGGGGGUGGCCCGGAGACAGAAGGCAGGUUAGUGGUCGAGGGGGCUGGAGGGAGAUGGCGGUGCCUGCUCGUGGGCACGGGGUGUCUCUUGGGGCAAUGGGAGUGUUCUGGAACUCAGUGGUGAUGGACAUAACUGAAUAUGCGAGAAGCCACUUUAAGAGGAUGAACUUCGUGGUCUCUGA